rnacentral:lncRNA from 1 species
AUCCUUGGAACUCCAAGUGGGACUUCUUAAAAGAUUUAUAAGGAACAAAGAUGUCAGGAAAGCAGAAAUACACACGGACUCCAUGACUAGAAAAACCUCGUGGUGGCCUGCUCUCCGGUGCUUGGAAGUGUGCUAGUUACAUCUUGGAGGCCUGAUUUUCUUAACUCCACCCUGCUGAGAAGAUGCCCUCCAGGAGGCUGUGCUUGCAGACUCCACGGAGCCUCUCUCAAGAUUUCCUGAACCUUGUGGAUUUACAGUAAGACGAAGUUCCCUGGGGAGUAAUUCUGGUGGAUGCAAAUUCUGGAGUAAUACACCUGGCCUGCCUAGAGAUGUUACAAGUGGCCUAAUGGAUUUUUCUAGCCUGGACGCCCACUGGGGACAAGGAUCAUUACUGACAGGAUUGUAUCUCUACCCUUGACUCCAUGGGAAUAUUUGGUCUGCUCUCUCGGGCUCCCUCUAAAAU